rnacentral:rRNA from 1 species
GAUGAACGCUGGCGGCGUGCCUAAUACAUGCAAGUCGAGCGAACAGACGAGGAGCUUGCUCCUCUGAUGUUAGCGGCGGACGGGUGAGUAACACGUGGAUAACCUACCUAUAAGACUGGGAUAACUUCGGGAAACCGGAGCUAAUACCGGAUAACAUGUUGAACCGCAUGGUUCAACAGUGAAAGACGGUCUUGCUGUCACUUAUAGAUGGAUCCGCGCCGCAUUAGCUAGUUGGUAAGGUAACGGCUUACCAAGGCAACGAUGCGUAGCCGACCUGAGAGGGUGAUCGGCCACACUGGAACUGAGACACGGUCCAGACUCCUACGGGAGGCAGCAGUAGGGAAUCUUCCGCAAUGGGCGAAAGCCUGACGGAGCAACGCCGCGUGAGUGAAGAAGGUCUUCGGAUCGUAAAACUCUGUUAUUAGGGAAGAACAAAUGUGUAAGUAACUAUGCACGUCUUGACGGUACCUAAUCAGAAAACCACGGCUAACUACGUG